UUCCAGACUCCUACGGGAGGCAGCAGUGAGGAAUAUUGGUCAAUGGGCGCGAGCCUGAACCAGCCAAGUCGCGUGAGGGAGGACGGCCCUACGGGUUGUAAACCUCUUUUGCCGGGGAGCAACGGGCGUCACGUGUGGCGCCACUGAGAGUACCCGGAGAAAAAGCAUCGGCUAACUCCGUGCCAGCAGCCGCGGUAAUACGGAGGAUGCGAGCGUUAUCCGGAUUUAUUGGGUUUAAAGGGUGCGUAGGCGGAGUGUCAAGUCAGCGGUAAAAUUUCGGGGCUCAACCCCGUCGUGCCGUUGAAACUGACGCCCUUGAGUGAGUGAGAAGUAAGCGGAAUGCGUGGUGUAGCGGUGAAAUGCAUAGAUAUCACGCAGAACGCCGAUUGCGAAGGCAGCUUACCGGCGCUCAACUGACGCUGAGGCACGAAAGUGCGGGUAUCGAACAGGAUUAGAUACCCCUGUAAU
rnacentral:rRNA from 1 species